ensembl:snRNA U6 U6 spliceosomal RNA
GUGCUCGCUUUGGCAGCACAUACCCUAAAACUGGAAUGAUACAGAGAAGAUUAGCAUGGCCCCUGCACAAGGAUGACACACAAACUUGUGAAACAUUACAUAUUUAC